rnacentral:rRNA from 1 species
AUGGCGCCCGAGGCCUCCCUGCAGGACCACCACCGCCGCCAUGGACCAGCGCCACCGUUCAAGUUCACGUCCGGCCCCGUUCUGGACCGGAUCUCCUCUGCUCCGCCGCCCAUCCGCCGAGUCCACCACGAUCCAGCCGGUUCCCGUGCGCCCUCGCCCGCGCAAGUUCCUCGUCGCGCUGCCUGUCGUCAAGUUUCUUGCUGUUGCUCUGCUUCCUGA